UCAAAAACUUUUAGUUGCAGAAGAAAACUUUGCACUGGCCGCCUAAUUACAGGUAGCCCGGACUGAUG
rnacentral:sRNA from 1 species